rnacentral:lncRNA from 1 species
GUGCAUAUAAAGGAAUCAAGAUUAAUAUAAUUGCAUGGAACAAUCAGAACUUAUCGAUGCGUUUGAGACGUAUCAAGGUACGGUGAAGAAGGGUGGGGGCACCAUAUAUGUCUAGGAGGGGGAGGUGGGUGGCCUACGGUAAGUGAGCGCUGGUGUCGGUUUAACGUCGCUAUUGUUGGGCGAUCUCCGGUGGUGAGUCGCCCACAUGCCACAUCAGGUGAUGUGGUUGACCGGCAGACCGCGUAUGGUUGGCCACACACCAGACCACGUAUGGAUGGUACGACUGAGUGACCGACGUACAAUACAUACAGGCGACGCGUAUCCCGAAGGUGGGGAGGGCGACAUGUUUUUUAAAUGACCAUCACACCCUUUGAAGGUCUAAGCACAGUUUAAAAAACCGGACCGGACCCGCGGCUGAAGAGGAAAAAACCAGAACCGGCAUCCUUUUUGGGUUUUUAAGCUAAAAAAGACCGACCUGCAAUUGGACCGGAAAUAAUAUAAACUGGACGGUUUUUGCAUUAAUCUGAGGUAUAAAACUGGCAGUUUAACCAGUACCAACCACAAAAAUAGAAAAAUAACCUGUGUCAAAGGAAAUUCAAAGCCAGGAUGCUAGAUAUUAGUAUGUUAAUUAGUUGCACCUUUGGACCAAUAACCAUCUUGGCUAGCCAACUUUCUUGUCAAAUUUAAGUAAAUGAUUGUAUUUUACAUCUAUUUAGUAUGACAUUAGUAUACAUUUUUAUUACUUAUGGUAUCAAAAACCAGACGUCGAACCGGUGAAUCGAUGGUCCGACCGGUUAAAACCAUGUUCGAUCACCGGUUCAGUUUUUCAAAACUAUGGGUGUAAGGACCGAUCACCAGUGUCGAUGUGUUUACAGGAUGGAGGAGGGUUGUACCGAAAUAAAAGUGGACUAAUUAAUAGAGGUAGUGAACUUGUGGGGGGUAUAUAUACCGGUAAGUUCAUAUGCAUGAUGUG